rnacentral:lncRNA from 1 species
GCGGGCGAGGAGGAGGAGAGGAGUCGGGGGAGGGGGGGCUCGCGUUCCUUCUCCUCUCCCAUCCCCCGAGGGGAACCCCCGUCGAGGGGAGCAGGCGGAGGAGCGGCGGGAGCCAAAGCCGUUAGCCCGGUCCCGCCCCGCAACCAGGAGACUCCCCUGCCCCUGGCCCGCCCCAUCUGGGGGAGAAAAAGCCUUCGGCCUGCUCCCCGUCACCGGCCCCUCUGGCCCUCCGCACGGUCCUGCUUCCCACUCCUCCGUGGGAGCGGAAGGGGUGUUUGUAAAAUCAAGUGGGAAGAGACGUGGGCCGCUUCCCGCUUCUGGAGCAUCCUUGUGCGCUCCGCCGCCGCCGCCGCCGCCGCCGCUUCCCUCCGUGCCCUCGGGGGUUUCCAGCCCCUCGCCUGCUCCCCGGGCCCACCCCCCGGCCCGGGCAGGGCCUCCUCGGCUCCCCCCUUCUCUCCGUGGCCGGAGCGAAGGGGUGGACGACGGAAGGAGCGACCGCCCCUCCGUCCCCCGGCCGGGCCCAUCCCCGGGAGCCCCGGGGGGGGGUCAAGGAGAAGACCCGUUAAUGGGGUUGGGCGAGGCCCGGAGCUCAGCCCGGCGCCAGGGAGGUGGGCCGUGCCCAAGGCAGGAGGGGCACACCUGGGGGAGGGGCAGUGCCCGCUGCCCCGCGGACCCGGCCUCUCCUGGACCGACCAGAUGCCCCCGGGGCCCAGCUCGCCCGCACCGGCUCCGGCAGCCCCAGGACCCGCGCCAUGGGAAGGUGAGUCUCGACGGCCGGCCGGGCGGCCGGGGUCACCCCGGACCCCUCCUCACCCUCCCGAGCCCCAGCCGGGGGGCGAAGGGACCCCUACGGGCGGUGCCGGCCCGGAGAGCGUCGCUCCGGACCUGGCGACGGAGGGGCCGCGCUGGGGGAUGGGGAAGGGGAAGGGUCAGCUCUCCUUCUCCCCUCCCUCCACCGCCCCCCGACCCCGGGGGCUCGGAGUCGGAUGUCUCUCCCUCCACCCCGGGGGCCGCUCCCGUCUCCGUGGGUCAGUGAGACGGAGGGUGCGGCGUCCUGGGCGAGCCCGGCCUGGUGCCCGUCCGGGAGGGUUCGCCCCCUCCUCCCUCUCCCUACCCCUCAUCCUCCCCGACGCCUUCCCGGAACGGUCUCUGACCGGCAGGGGCUGA